GUGCACAUUUCAUUGACCUGCUUUCAUUGCAUUGUGGAGCAGUGUUAUUUCUGAUGUGCUAUAUAAACUGUUGAAGGUUAAUUAGCAGCACAACUCUAUAUAGUAAAUGCUGCCAGUCCCCUUCAGACAGAU
rnacentral:snoRNA from 13 species